rnacentral:pre_miRNA from 1 species
AGUGAGAUGCCUAGGUGGUAUGCUAAGUAUAUGUUUAAUUUUUUAAGAAAGUGUUUUUCUAAAGUAGCUGUACCAUUUUAUAAUCCCACCAGCAAU